rnacentral:rRNA from 1 species
AACGAACGCUGGCGGCAGGCCUAACACAUGCAAGUCGAGCGCCCCGCAAGGGGAGCGGCGGACGGGUGAGUAACGCGUGGGAACGUACCCUUUGCUACGGAAUAGCCUCGGGAAACUGGGAGUAAUACCGUAUGUGCCCUUCGGGGGAAAGAUUUAUCGGCAAAGGAUCGGCCCGCGUUGGAUUAGGUAGUUGGUGGGGUAAUGGCCUACCAAGCCGACGAUCCAUAGCUGGUUUGAGAGGAUGAUCAGCCACACUGGGACUGAGACACGGCCCAGACUCCUACGGGAGGCAGCAGUGGGGAAUCUUAGACAAUGGGCGCAAGCCUGAUCUAGCCAUGCCGCGUGAGCGAUGAAGGCCUUAGGGUUGUAAAGCUCUUUCAGUGGGGAAGAUAAUGACUGUACCCACAGAAGAAGUCCCGGCUAACUCCGUGCCAGCAG